GCCUUGCUAGCUCAAUCGGUAGAGCGUGAGGCUCUUAUCCAGGGUAUCUUAAGGUUGGGGUUCGACCCCCCCGUGAGGCU
rnacentral:tRNA from 1 species